AUAAAAUAUCUACCAAUUAGCACUUUUAUAUAACACAAGUAUAUAUAGCAUAGUGGCCGUGACGUAUCAGACACACAUGCAAUCUCAAGCCAAUAUGAGACGUUAAGCCGGUUUUCCACUAGCGAAUUUUUUCGCGCGAAGCGACUUUUUUCCUUUGUCAGUAUCACUUAUUCAUGAGUACAGCAAGACUUGGCAAAAAGGAUCCCACAAAGGAAAAAAGUCGCGUCGCGCGAAAAAAUUCGCUAGUGGAAAACCGGCUUUAUAGCUAUGUGAUUGUCUGAUACAUCAGGGGCGCGUAAUAAGCUGUAUGUAUUACUCAAGUAGCUUGUAGAACGUAAGGAUUUCAACAGUUGUGUCCUGAUUAUGCAAAUAAGGAGAGUUUUGCAUAUAUGCAUGUGAAUAUACAAGACCUCAUUGAUUUAUUUUUAUUUUUAAUAAUGAAUUAUUAAAGCAGCAAUUAGUUUUAUUUGUUAUAGGCAUGUUGUAGCUACCACAUUUAACGUAGCACUCCUGAAAUAAAAUGGCCUAUAAAUGACCUGACAGUGUACCGGGAAAGGACGACACCACUUAAGCUAAGUGUUAAUUGCUGUAGGGUUAAUUGCUAAGUGUUAAUAACUCAUUAAUAAUUCAUGAGGAAACACAAAGAAAAAUCAUAAGCGUGUCGUAUCUUUAUAUAUAUGAAAGAGAUUUCCCUUGAUUUACAUAAACUUUAACUUUGAUUUUCUCGACUU